rnacentral:rRNA from 1 species
UACGAAGGGGGCUAGCGUUGUUCGGAAUCACUGGGCGUAAAGGGCGCGUAGGCGGCUUUGUAAGUCGGGGGUGAAAGCCUGUGGCUCAACCACAGAAUUGCCUUCGAUACUGCAUGGCUUGAGACCGGAAGAGGUAAGUGGAACUGCGAGUGUAGAGGUGAAAAUUCGUAGAUAUUCGCAAGAACACCAGUGGCGAAGGCGGCUUACUGGUCCGGUUCUGAACGCUGAGGCG